UUGUUUCGCACAAUAUUCCCUUCAGCAAUCCCAAGUACCCCUUACGGCCAGAAACCUUCCACCCACGUGAAACCAAAAUUCUUCUUCUACCUAGCGGAACUACUCCCUCACAGACCACCGUAGCUUUCCUCUCGAUCAGCAAGCCCCACGUUGAAAACAGAAAACCCAUAGCAGUUUCUCCCCAUACCGGGCCACCACCUCGCCGGAAACCACCACAGAAGACGCCGCCCGUAAGUCUUCCCUCCACCCACGCGUGCGUCGACCCAUCUCUCCCUGUCUUUUCUCUCUCCACUGCUAAUAAACAACCCGUGUGUUUUGCCCAGCCACUGUCAACCUCAGAGGACGUCGGAGCACCACCCACACCGCCAGAAACCGCCGGCCAGUCACUUCCCGUCGAACCCACAACUUCCUGCUUGUGCAGCCGCUCACUCUCUGUCAAUCUGAUCCACCGCCGUCGCACCCAGCCUCCUCUCUCGGUGACGAGUUACGGCGUGAGAUUAUGGAAGUAGCGCUAAGAAGUAAGUAGUAUGACCAUACCUUUAUGUGUGCUGUAAAUAUUCAAUUUUUGCAUGAAAAAUGUGAUGUUUACCUACGCUAUGCUACGAGCCAAUUCAAGGUUAGCCUA